GUUAUACCGGGACUACGGGACACCUCUUCCGAGCCGGACACAGGCAGGUGAGGGGGCUUGCUCUAGGAUUUACAGUCUAGCCGGGCUGGUCACAUGAGACACCGGAUACAGCUGUACUGUCUGGGCGUGGACUUCUAGCGCUGUGGUGACAUCUGCUGGUAGAUGAUGUCUUAGAUUUAUGGAUGUAAAGUGAACUGGAUAGGUGGAAGCAAGAUGGCUCCAUCUGAGAAGCUAAUCUCAUGAGAUCAACCCCGAGGAGGCCUUGAAAGCCCGGUGGCCAAAGCAGGAGCAACCCCAGGACAACCCCAACACCCAGUAAGAGUGACACUCAACAGCUGACCAACCAGUCAGAUCUAGUCUCAGCUGUUGAUUAACCAAUUACUGUCAACCCAAAUUGCCAGUUCAUAUGGUCAAGUAGGUUAGGAUGAAUCACCUUUCUCAUGUUUUUUCUUGUAACUUCCUUUUAAAACCACAAGAUAGCGAUCAAACUCCUCUCUUUUGUCAGCAUAAUCACAUCACAGUUUAUACAAUUCAUCAAUUUCAUAUUUUAAUUAGAGGUCCUAGCAUUGAAGGUGCAGAAACCCUACCAUUAUUGUAAACAAAGAUGGCAUUUCCAGACCAGUUGAUGGCGCUAUAGCACACUUUAAGGCUGUAACUUCUGGACUGUAAACAUUAUGUACAUAAGGACAGUAGAAUAUGCUAUGCAAGGGUUGUGACUAGAUAGAGUACAGCUACGACUGGUAGUUACUUUUCAUACAGGUUAGGAGAGUAAUUUAGCUAACCUUAACCUCAGUCUCCUAACCUGCUACAAAAAAAGUAACUUCUGGUCGUAGAUGUAUUCCCCAGUCAGAACCCUAUACGGGACCGUAAACAGAGCAUUGUGGGGCUCCGGGCUUGUACUAGGAUGACCCUGGAAUGCUGCUUGCAGCUUCAAUGAAUGUAAUAUCUAUAUAUCUAUUUAUCUUUUCCGGGAGAGACUGAUGUUUGUGACUCACCCCCUAGAUCAUCCCAGAUCCAGGGGAAUUAUAAUCCAGUCUUUAGACCACCUGAUGUGAAUGACAGUCUACCAGAGGGAUUUGUUCAAUGAAGUUAAAUGUUCAGAACAUAACAGAUAGAAAUGUAAUGAAUAGAGUCAACAUGAUGUCCUAUUCUACAUGACAGGCAAUCAUAUCUGUUCUACACAAUACAUUUCUAUCUGAACAUUCUGGAACGCUGCACUCUGAACAGACUUUAGCCAACUCAACAACCUUCACUUGAAGAAAAUAAACUCUUAUUUGCUCAGUCGAGUUGACUUUUAACGUGUGUAUGGACACUAACAACAGCUUCCUUCCUUGAACUGUUGACAGCUGAACAUGAGUAAAAGACGGAUGGAUACACGUGAAUCACAAAGGAUAAAUAUUUAUUGCAAAUAUGUGUUCAUUUAUUACAUCACUUUCCCUUAAAUAACCCAUACACACCCAUUCACUCACUCUAGUGUACACAGAUGAAGAUUAUAUCAAAUAAAAUAUAGAAAAAUAAGACCUGUGAUGAGUAUCUGUGAAAAACAAGUUUGUGCGUUUUAAAGCUGUAAGACCGUGUAGCAUGAAUAACAUUUUGACAAAAUAUAAAAUCAUGUUGAUGUAAUCAUGCUAA